rnacentral:rRNA from 1 species
GUAGGUGGCAAGCGUUGUCCGGAGUUAUUGGGCGUAAAGCGCGCGCAGGCGGUUCUUUAAGUCUGAUGUGAAAGCCCACGGCUCAACCGUGGAGGGUCAUUGGAAACUGGAGAACUUGAGUACAGAAGAGGAAAGCGGAAUUCCACGUGUAGCGGUGAAAUGCGUAGAGAUGUGGAGAAACACCAGUGGCGAAGGCGGCUUUCUGGUCUGUAACUGACGCUGAGGCGCGAAAGCGUGGGGAGCAAACAGGAUUAGAUACCCUGGUAGUCCACGCCGUAAACGAUGAGUGCUAAGUGUUAGGGGGUUUCCGCCCCCUUAGUGCUGCAGCUAACGCAUUAAGCACUCCGCCUGGGAGUACGGCCGCAAGGCUG